AAACGAUUUAAUGCUGAAAAGUGUGACGCAGGUGAGGAUAGUGUACUUAGAAGUAAAAUACAUGUGUUCUAGUGGACGAUAAUUGAUUGCCCGCAACAGUCUGAGUGGAAACUGGAUAGCUAUUUUGAUAUGACGCUGAACAAGACGUGGCUGUCAGGAUCAAAACAAUACGGACGUCUGCCCCGAUACACAUUGAAAACGUUGAAAAGUCCAUAGGUUCAGUAUGCCAAAACGAAAAUCAUGCUAAAGCAAUACACAUGGUCCUUCUGCGCAUACCAAAAACCGAGAUGAACAUGUACCAGAGUAACCAGACAUAUCCUUGAGCGUUGUUCAUGUAGACAAUUUGUCCAUCAGUGAGGGCUUUCGCUUGUUCCUUUCUACAAAUUGUUAGUGCUUUCAAGUCUUUAGUGAUUGCCUACCAUUUAAGAACUCAAAAUAAUUUAUCUCAGACAUAUUUGAAUUAUUCAUUGGCAAUGUGCCCUUCAA